rnacentral:rRNA from 1 species
CGUUCAACCCUCACCCUUCCUUGUUUUCUCCAGCCUAUAUACCACCGUCGUCAGCUUACCCUGUGAAGGCCCAAAUAGUAAGCAAAACCGGCACUACCCAAUACGUCAGGUCGAGGUGUAGCCUAUGGAAGGGGAAGAGAUGGGCUACAUUCACUGGCACAGUGAAUACGGAUGGUACCCUUGAAACAGGUAUCUGAAGGAGGAUUUAGAAGUAAGCAAAAAAUAGAGUGUUUUGCUGAAGUUGGCCCUGAAGCGCGUACACACCGCCCGUCACUCUCCCCGAACUUGAACUAAAUAUAUAAUUAAUACUCCUACAAAGACCUAAGGGGAGGCAAGUCGUAACAUGGUAAGCGUACCGGAAGGUGCGCUUGGAACAAU